GGAUGGGCUCGCGUGACAUUAGCUAGUUGGUGGGGUAACGGCCCACCCAAGGGGACGAUGUCUAGGGGCUCUGAGAGGAGAAUCCCCCCACACUGGUACUGAGACACGGACCAGACUCCUACGGGAGGCAGCAGUAAGGAAUAUUGGUCAAUGGGGGCAACCCUGAACCAGCCAUGCCGCGUGCAGGACGACUGCCCUAUGGGUUGUAAACUGCUUUUGUUAGGGAAUAAACCCCACUACGUGUAGUGGGCUGAAUGUACCUAAAGAAUAAGGAUCGGCUAACUCCGUGCCAGCAGCCGCGGUAAUACGGAGGAUCCGAGCGUUAUCCGGAUUUAUUGGGUUUAAAGGGUGCGUAGGCGGCACUUUAAGUCAGGGGUGAAAGACGGCAGCUCAACUGUCGCAGUGCCCUUGAUACUGAAGUGCUUGAAUGCGGUUGAAGACGGCGGAAUGAGACAAGUAGCGGUGAAAUGCAUAGAUAUGUCUCAGAACACCGAUUGCGAAGGCAGCUGUCUAAGCCGUUAUUGACGCUGAUGCACGAAAGCGUGGGGAUCGAACAGGAUUAGAUACCCUGGUAGUCCACGCCCUAAACGAUGAUGACUCGAUGUUUGCGAUAUACCGUAAGCGUCCAAGCGAAAGCGUUAAGUCAUCCACCUGGGGAGUACGCCCGCAAGGGUGAAACUCAAAGGAAUUGACGGGGGCCCGCACAAGCGGAGGAGCAUGUGGUUUAAUUCGAUGAUACGCGAGGAACCUUACCCGGGCUUGAAAGUUACUGAAGGGCGCAGAGACGCGCUCGUCCCUCGGGACAGGAAACUAGGUGCUGCAUGGCUGUCGUCAGCUCGUGCCGUGAGGUGUUGGGUUAAGUCCCGCAACGAGCGCAACCCCUAUGUUUAGUUGCCAGCACGUCAAGGUGGGGACUCUAAACAGACUGCCUGCGCAAGCAGAGAGGAAGGCGGGGACGACGUCAAGUCAUCAUGGCCCUUACGUCCGGGGCUACACACGUGCUACAAUGGAUGGUACAGCGGGCAGCUACACAGCAAUGUGAUGCCAAUCUCGAAAAGCCAUUCACAGUUCGGAUCGGGGUCUGCAACUCGACCCCGUGAAGUUGGAUUCGCUAGUAAUCGCGUAUCAGCA
rnacentral:rRNA from 1 species